rnacentral:rRNA from 1 species
GAGAGGUGGGAGUGCCCGAAAGGGAGCCAUAACACAGGUGCUGCAUGGCUGUCGUCAGCUCGUGUCGUGAGAUGUUGGGUUAAGUCCCGCAACGAGCGCAACCCUUGUCCCUAGUUGCUACGCAAGAGCACUCUAGGGAGACUGCCGGUGACAAACCGGAGGAAGGUGGGGAUGACGUCAAGUCCUCAUGGCCCUUAUGGGUAGGGCUUCACACGUCAUACAAUGGUCGGAACAGAGGGUCGCCAACCCGCGAGGGGGAGCCAAUCCCAGAAAACCGAUCGUAGUCCGGAUCGCACUCUGCAACUCGAGUGCGUGAAGCUGGAAUCGCUAGUAAUCGCGGAUCAGCAUGCCGCGGUGAAUACGUUCCC